UACAGAGGGUGCGAGCGUUAAUCGGAAUUACUGGGCGUAAAGGGUGCGUAGGUGGAUAUUCAAGUCAAAGGUGAAAGCCCUGGGCUCAACCUGGGAAUUGCCUGUGAAACUGAAUGUCUAGAGUAGAGUAGAGGGGAGUGGAAUUUCCGGUGUAGCGGUGAAAUGCGUAGAGAUCGGAAGGAACACCAGUGGCGAAGGCGGCUCUCUGGACUCAUACUGACACUGAGGCACGAAAGCGUGGGGAGCAAACAGGG
rnacentral:rRNA from 1 species